rnacentral:rRNA from 1 species
UACGUAGGUGGCAAGCGUUACUCGGAAUCACUAGGCGUAAAGCGCAGGUAGGCGGUUUGAUAAGUCUUUUGUGAAAGCUCCCGGCUCAACUGGGAGAGGUCAAGGGAAACUGUCAGGCUAGAGUGUGGCAGAGGAAGCUAGAAUUCCCGGUGUAGCGGUGAAAUGCGUAGAUAUCAGGAGGAACACCGGUGGCGAAGGCGGUUCUCUGGGCAUGAUCUGACGCUGAGGAGCGAAAGUGUGGGGAGCGAACGGG